CUGUGAGCAGGGCUGUCUGUCACUUCCUUCUCGCUAGCGGCUUCUGUGUCUUUCCGUCCAGUGCUGGCAGCCGCUGUGUCACCACGGAGACAGUCACCAUAGGGACACGUGAAGCCAGGGCUCUAGGAGCUGGCGCUGGCGCAGGAACUUGCGCCCGGCCACCUGUCCUCCAUCGGCUACUGCCGAGGCGCCGGCCUGCCCCGUGCCUCCCCACUGGUCCUCCAGGCUGGUCCUUCCAGCCAGGUGCCAGCCCCAGGUAACCUCCAGUCCGCGUUCUGUGUCGUUGACUCCGCCCCCUCCAGACACCUUAUGUACCUGGAGUCCUUUGUGAUGGGCUCUUUUCACACGGCAUGACAUCCUCAAGGCCCAGCCUCCUCGUAGCAGGUGUCGGGACUGCCUUCCUUUUUAAAGGAGGAAGAUGAGGCAGUGUCCACCCCAUCACACAGCAAGUUGGCUGCGUGUCCACAUCACCACCCCAGCCGUCCUCUCGGGACAGAUCCACCGGCCGCUGCAGCACCGUGGGAGACCGCCGGUCGGGACAACCACGAUGUCACCAGCACAGAGCCGACUACAAAGCGCCAGCAUCUCGACACGUCCAACACCUGGAAGCCACGACCGAGGCAGCCCCGGGCACGCGGGCACCGAGGAGGCCCAGGACACAGAGCCAGGGGCCACGCAGAGCCCCGCGUAACAAGCCGCCAGCUCGGUCAGGGCCAAGGACGGGACGCCGCACCAGGGCAGGGCCAGGCGGAGCGCUCGCCGUCGGUCCCCGCCUCUCGGGCCCGGCGCCCGCUAUCGGUGACCCGGCGGGUGCUCUAGGAAAAGUCGGCGGGGUCCUGCGGCCCGGGGUCGGCAUCCACGUGACCGGCGCUUACCGCCACGGCCCGGGGGGAUGCCCGGCCCGUACCCGGAACUUCGUAGCUCCCGUGAGACGAGACAGCUCUCGGAACUCCAGCUGGAUGCUCGUCACCUCGGCCACCGUGCUGUCGGACGUCCACCGGGGUGGGCGGG